UACGAAGGUGUCUAGCGUUGUUCGGAAUCACUGGGCGUAAAGCGUACGCAGGCGGACUGACAAGUCUGGGGUGAAAGCCCGAAGCUCAACUUCGGAAUUGCCUUGGAAACUGUCAGUCUCGAGUGUAAGAGGGGGUAGCGGAAUUCCAAAUGUAGAGGUGAAAUUCGUAGAUAUUUGGAGGAACACCGGUGGCGAAGGCGGCUACCUGGCUUACAACUGACGCUGAGGUACGAAAGCGUGGGGAUCAAACAGG
rnacentral:rRNA from 1 species